GGUCUUGUUGGCAGCAUUAUGAAUUGAGAGAGAGAGAGAGAGAGAGAGAGAGAGAGAUGUGUCUGCAGUCAAAGAGCGUAUAGAAAGAGGCUCCUGAAAUGUCAUUUCACUCUGCAAAUAUAAUCAGAGCAUGUACUGUUUGGGGGCUAUGGAGGUUGGAGACAUUAUUCUAAGGAUUUAAAAAACAAACUUAUUUUAUGGUAUGCUGCAAAAGUGUAUUCGUAGCCUCGGAAAAGGAUUAGCUCUGUCUACUGGGCACUGGUCCCAACCUGAAACCCGUCUACCGUUGCCUAGCGCUUGUUCUUUAGGUGGAGGGACGAUCGCCUCUCUAACCUGAACCCAUUUCCAUACGUUCCGUUAAAAAACAGACCGAUAUGAUGACUUGUGUUGCAAGAACGUAGAGAAUCGUAAAAAGAAUCAAACAUGGUAGCUCAAUAUCACAUAAGUCUAUCCCAUAAUUUUAACUUCGAAAAUUCCAUGAAGUUGAUUCUCUCACAAGUCAAAACUACAAGCAGCGAUUUCGUUUCCAAAGGUCAAAGCAAAACUCAUAGCGACUGCUUUCCUUGGCGUUCCUCUGACAAAAAUAGGGACUACUUUCCUCAAAUUGGAAAAAGUAGGGCAUCGCUAAACAACAGAACUUAGUAUACAACGUGUACAAACAAUGCCUAUGAAUCGGACAACAAAAUAAUAAAAAUUAGGCAACCCAGCAUUGGAGGUGAAUUGCCCGAAUAAAUUCAGCAUGCACAGCCGCCACCUCCUCUCUGAUCGGACUCUGUAACAGCCUCCGGGACGCCCUGGAAAUAUCUGCAAGUAAAAAGAAAAGAGAAACAAUGAUGAAUAAGGCAGGUUUGGAGGGUCAUAAAAUACCUCAUAUAAGCGUAAAGCAAUAAUAGCAGAAAGAUAGAUACUGAUGCCCUGUAGAUAUACAAUUGGGGUAAAUCGUAAGGUAAUUUUCACUAGAAUCAUAUGCUUAUUCUACAAAGAAGUUUUGACAGAAUUUGGAAAGAUCAAGAUCAGAUGCUCAUACUUUGAUUGCUUUACAGCAAAGAUCCAUUAUGUGGGACAAUGAGACUUAGUUUAGUCAUCUGCUUCCACACUGCCGAGCCCCUUACCUCGUCUCAAGCUGUACUUAGUCCCAUUCAAAUGCACAUCCUUUGAUGCGACCAGUCAAACCAGGCUUUAUCUAUACUUACAACUAUUGUGACUGGUGAAACCAGGCUUUAUCUAUACUUACAACUAUUGUGACUGGUGAAACCAGGCUUCAUCUACACAUGCGACCAUUCUUCUCCUAAAAUAUCUUAACUAAGUUCUAAGAAGACCAAUAUACUAGGUUUUAUCCUUCAUGUCAUAAAAGUGAGAACUAAAAACUACAUUCAUAAUGAAAACUAUCAUGUUCAUUCUAUCUAAUUCUUGUCUAUAGAACCAAGACUAUGAUCAAAUACACUAUAUAGAAUCAUCUAUCCACUAUGCGGAUGCUUCCAAAAGAGAGCCGAUGCUCAUCUUCUGAAUCUGGAAUAGCUGAUGAACUUAAAUAUAUUCUAAAAAAGAACUUGGCAAUAUCCUCCAUAUAAAC
rnacentral:lncRNA from 1 species